CCCGUAACGAGCGCAACCCUUGUCCUUAGUUACCAGCACAUUAUGGUGGGCACUCUAAGGAGACUGCCGGUGACAAACCGGAGGAAGGUGGGGAUGACGUCAAGUCAUCAUGGCCCUUACGGCCUGGGCUACACACGUGCUACAAUGGUCGGUACAGAGGGUUGCCAAGCCGCGAGGUGGAGCUAAUCUCACAAAACCGAUCGUAGUCCGGAUCGCAGUCUGCAACUCGACUGCGUGAAGUCGGAAUCGCUAGUAAUCGCGAAUCAGAAUGUCGCGGUGAAUACGUU
rnacentral:rRNA from 1 species